GGAGUUAGCCGGUGCUUCUUCUGUGAGUGAUGUCCUUCCUGCCGGCUAUUAACCCGCAGGCCUUCUUCCUCACUGAAAGUGCUUUACAACCCGAAGGCCUUCUUCACACACGCGGCAUGGCUGGAUCAGGGUUGCCCCCAUUGUCCAAUAUUCCCCACUGCUGCCUCCCGUAGGAGUCUGGGCCGUGUCUCAGUCCCAGUGUGGCUGAUCAUCCUCUCAGACCAGCUACGGAUCGUCGCCUUGGUGAGCCGUUACCUCACCAACCAGCUAAUCCGACAUAGGCUCAUCCGAUAGCGCGAGGCCCGAAGGUCCCCCGCUUUCCCCCGUAGGGCGUAUGCGGUAUUAGCCUGGGUUUCCCCAGGUUAUCCCCCACUACCGGGCAGAUUCCUAUGCAUUACUCACCCGUCCGCCGCUCGCCACCAGGGAGCAAGCUCCCCGUGCUGCCGCUCGACUUGCAUGUGUUAGGCCUGCCGCCAGCGUUCAAUCUGAGCCAUAGAUACCCUAACGUACCUUGACGUCGGGACGUCGGGGCCUAGGGGCCGAACGGACGUACGA
rnacentral:rRNA from 1 species